CUCUUACCCAUGUCUUUUGAGUACCUUCGUUUCCUCGGCGGGUCCGCCCGCCGAUUGGACAACAUUCAAACCCUUUGCAGUUGCAAUCAGCGUCUGAAAAAACAUAAUAGUUACAACUUUCAACAACGGAUCUCUUGGUUCUGGCAUCGAUGAAGAACGCAGCGAAAUGCGAUAAGUAGUGUGAAUUGCAGAAUUCAGUGAAUCAUCGAAUCUUUGAACGCACAUUGCGCCCCUUGGUAUUCCAUGGGGCAUGCCUGUUCGAGCGUCAUUUGUACCUUCAAGCUCUGCUUGGUGUUGGGUGUUUGUCUCGCCUCUGCGUGUAGACUCGCCUUAAAACAAUUGGCAGCCGGCGUAUUGAUUUCGGAGCGCAGUACAUCUCGCGCUUUGCACUCAUAACGACGACGUCCAAAAGUACAUUUUUACACUCUUGACCUCGGAUCAGGUAGGGAUACCCGCUGAACUUAAGCAUAUCAAA
rnacentral:rRNA from 1 species